AUGGACGAGCUGGGUCUUCCAUGCCUGAAUCUAGAGCAUCUUGAGCGGCCGUUUACGGAGGAGGAGGUGGAAGGAGUGAUCAAGACGAUGCCUCGGGAUAAAGCGCCGGGCCCGGAUGGUUUCACGGGCAGAUUCUAUGCGACUUGCUGGAGUAUAAUCAAGGAGGAUUUCAUGAGAGCAAUGGGCUACUUCUACAAUGGUGACAUGAGGGGUUUGGCGACCAUCAACAAGUCCUUGGUCUCUCUUUUGCCCAAGAAGGAUGGUGCCCUGGAGGUGUGUGACUUCAGACCCAUAAACCUUGUGCAUGGGGAUGUGAAGAUCUUCGAGAAGGUGCUUGCGUGUAGACUCGUGGAAGAUCUACCUAAGCUGGUCGGUAAUCAUCAAAGUGCUUUCGUCAAGGGCAGAUUCUUGCAUGACAAUUUCAUGCUUGUGCAAAGUAUGGCAAGACGGCUUCAUGCUCGGAAGAGCUCGGUGAUUUUGCUUAAGCUAGACAUCUCGAAAGCUUUCGACUCGGUGCAAUGGCCCUUCUUGGUGGAGGUGUUGCAGCAUAUGGGUUUCGGGCCAAGGUGGAGGUCUUGGAUUUGUGGAAUACUUUCAACCUCGACCACAAAAGUAAUGGUCAAUGGUGCGUUGGGAGACACGAUCUAUAACUGCGAGGGGCUACGGCAAGGGGAUCCUAUCUCCCCAAUGCUUUGUAUUCUCAUUAUGGAGCCAAUGCAAAGGAUGAUGCAACUAGCUGUGACCCGUGGAGUGAUGGAGCCAUUGGCGCCUGUGGGAAUGGAGAAGCGACUAUCAUUCUUUGCGGAUGAUGUUGUCCUAUUUGUCAAGCCAAAUAAGGUAGACCUUGCGGCAUGCAAGUGUAUUUUGGAGCUUUUCGGCGAAGCUUCGAGACUAAGGAUCAACAUGCAAAAAUCGGACGCUAUUCCUAUUAGAUGCUCGGAGGAGCAAAUUACCAUGGCAAGUGCUGAGCUCCAAUGCCCCUUGGGAGCCUUCCCAAUCAAGUAUUUGGGGCUGCCACUCUCAUUAAGGAGGCCAUCGGCGAGUCAGUUGAAGUAUUUGGUGGAUCAAAUGGCUAAUAAGCUUCAAAGAUGGAAGGCAUCACUUAUGCCAAAGAGUGGCAGACUAACCUUGGUCCAAUCAGUGCUUUGUGCCAUGCCGAUCCAUGCAAUGAUGGCGUUGGAUCUACCGUUGAGAACACUCAAUGCAAUGAAGAAGAUUUGCAGAGGUUUCUUGUGGUGUAGACACGCGGAGGCUAAUGGUGGAAAUUGUGCGGUGGCUUGGGACGUGGUGUGCGCACCGAAGUGGGCAGGUGGCCUUGGCUUGCCAAACUUGCGUUGGAUGAACAUAGCUAUGCAAGCGAGAUGGCCGUGGCUUGCGAGGACUGACGAGACGAGGCCAUGGAGAGAGUUCAAGAUAAAGGUCCCGAAGGAGUCUUUGGGGAUUUGCAUGGCGGCUAUGAGGAGUGUGGCCAACUCUAGGCUCACGACACGCUUUUGGGAGGACCGUUGGCUUGAUGGUAACAGGAUUCAGGAGGUUGCACCGCUUCUCUACAAUUUGGUUCCUAAGCGCAUCAGAGAUUCCAGGUUUGUUGGUCCGGUGGUGGAGAAUGGGAGUUGGGCAUUGGACAUUGGCCCGGAUAUUGGACCGGCUGUGCUGCAUGAGUUCCUUUUGGUAUGGCAUAGGGUUUCAGCUUGGGAGCCAAGGGUGGAUGUGCCUGAUAAGGUGGUCUGGUCAUGGGAGGCCAUCGGACAGUUCUCCGUGAAAUCUGCUUAUGCGGCUGGUUUUUGGGGUCGAGAAGGAAGCCUGACGGCAGAUCUAACUUGGAAAUCACGUGCACCCUCAUGGUGCAGGUUCUUCACGUGGUUGGCCCUCAAGGACCGGUGUUGGACGUCGGACCGGCUAGCGAGAAGAGGGUUACCACACCAGGACGCAUGCCCAUUUUGUGACCAGGAGGAUGAAACCAUUAACCACAUUCUACUUGGUACGUCUCCAACGUACCUAUAA
rnacentral:rRNA from 1 species